UUUUGUAAAAAAAAUAUAAAAAAAAAUAAGCUUAGUUCAAAAGUAGUGCACUACUUAGGGUUGCCAUGGGGUUCUGGUCUAAAGUAGUGCACUACUUAGGGAAUGGGGUUCUGGUCUAAAGUAGUGCACUACUUAGGGAAUGGGGUUGCCAUGGGGUUCUGGUCUAAAGGAGUGCACUACUUAGGGAAUGGGGUUGCCAUGGGGUUCUGGUCUAAAGUAGUGCACUACUUAGGGAAUGGGGUUGCCAUGGGGUUCUGGUCUAAAGUAGUGCACUACUUAGGGAAUGGGGUUGCCAUGGGGUUCUGGUCUAAAGUAGUGCACUACUUAGGGAAUGGGGUUCUGGUCUAAAGUAGUGCACUACUUAGGGAAUGGGGUUGCCAUGGGGUUCUGGUCUAAAGUAGUGCACUACUUAGGGAAUGGGGUUGCCAUGGGGUUCUGGUCUAAAGUAGUGCACUACUUAGGGAAUGGGGUUGCCAUGGGGUUCUGGUCUAAAGUAGUGCACUACUUA